rnacentral:rRNA from 1 species
AACGAACGCUGGCGGCAGGCCUAACACAUGCAAGUCGAGCGCCCUUUCGGGGGAGCGGCGGACGGGUGAGUAACGCGUGGGAAUAUGCCCUUCUCUACGGAAUAGCCUCGGGAAACUGAGAGUAAUACCGUAUACGCCCUGUGGGGGAAAGAUUUAUCGGGGAAGGAUUAGCCCGCGUUGGAUUAGGUAGUUGGUGGGGUAGUGGCCUACCAAGCCGACGAUCCAUAGCUGGUUUGAGAGGAUGAUCAGCCACACUGGGACUGAGACACGGCCCAGACUCCUACGGGAGGCAGCAGUGGGGAAUCUUAGACAAUGGGGGCAACCCUGAUCUAGCCAUGCCGCGUGAGUGAUGAAGGCCUUAGGGUUGUAAAGCUCUUUCAGCUGGGAAGAUAAUGACGGUACCAGCAGAAGAAGCCCCGGCUAACUCCGUG